CCAGGGCUCAGUGAGGAGCCGGAGUGUCCCGGCCUGCCUGGACUCCAGCCGGGACCUCCCACAUGAGGCUCAUUCAUCUAUGCCCAGGAUUCUCAAAGAACCCCGGCCCCAGCCUGCUCUCUGUCAUGUGCUGAGCCCCAAGCUUACCCAUGCCUCCUGCCGUGGGGACCAGAGAAUGAGAAGACCACCAGGGAGACCCGCCCUGGAGACCAUGGUGUGCUGCUGACUCACGAGAAUGACAUCACCAAGUGUGCCCUCUGUCCUGUCACUUGGAGCUCCUGGAAGCACAGAAUGUCCCUCAGCCUGGACACUGCCCCUGGCCUGGGGAGGUAGAUGCUCCCCACCUCCCCUCCUGCCCUAGUGCAGAGGAAAGAAGAUCAAAUCUGGAGUCAGCAGACAUAGGAGUCUAAUCCCUGGUUCUGAUAUAUCUAGGCAGUCAUUGCCUUAGCCACACUCAGCCUUAAUCUCCUGAUCUGCAAAAUGGGGAGAACCACACUAACUUUGCAGUUUGCGGUGAGAGUCAAGGAAACCCACGUGAGAAGUGUCUGGCACUGUGCCUCGCAUGUACUGUGUUUGUCGGCCCCUCGGGCCUCAUGUUGUUGCUCUGGCACCCCAGGGGCUCAGGUGGAGCCACG
rnacentral:lncRNA from 10 species